AGCUCCAAUAGCGUAUACUAAUGUUGUUGCAGUUAAAAAGCUCGUAGUCGGAUUUCAGUAGCAGUCGGCUGUUUCAUUACGUUACGGCUUCCUUCUACUUCUUUGAUAGAAACAUUCAUGUUAUUGAUUUAGCGUGUUUUGGGACUGUCUCUUUUACUUUGAGAAAAUUAGAGUGUUCAAAGCAGGUUUUCGCCUGAAUAUUACUCUUGGAAUAAUAAUAUAGGACUCUGGUUCAUAUUUGUUGGUGAUCUGGACCAGAGUAAUGAUUGAUAGGGACGGUUGGGGUCAUUCGUACUGCAAAGCGAGAGGUGAAAUUCUUGGACCUUUGUAUGACGAACAACUGCGAAAGCAUUUGGCUAGGACGUUCCCG
rnacentral:rRNA from 1 species